AUUAACUGUAUCACUUGGUGUGUUUGUUUGGGUGAAAGUGAGGGGGAAGUGGAGAUGGGGGAGGUUGUUUACACCGUAAAUUAUCACUUCCGUUGUUUGUUUUGCCGUAAUUUUAUUACGGCCGAAAGUCGAGUUCACCCAAAAUAGGGUAAUUGACUUCGCUCUCCCACGGGGCAAAGUCAAUUCCGAUGAAGUGCAAAGAGGCAAGGGAACUUGUUGAAUUUAGUUAGGUAAUGCGAUCAAAUUUGGUUAUGUAAAUUUUAAUAUAUUUUUUGUAUAAUUUGUAAAUUUAGAAAAUGAUGAAAAAUGAAUUUGUUAAAUGUUAAUAAUUUUUUAACUUUAGAAUUUUAUUUGUUGCAUUAUUAUAAUUUAUAUGCAAACAAAUAAUGUAAUUUUUUAAAAUUUUAUUUUAUAAUUAUACAUAUAUAUAAUUAUAUUAAUUUUUAUUUAUUAUAAUUUAUUAUUGACUAAGUUACAAAAUAGACAAUGAUAUCACUUCGGAGGUAAGUAUACCAGGGGUGGAGAACUAUAUUUUUUACGUCAUCUACUUCCUACCAAACAAACAACAGAACUUGCAGAACUGCACUUCCACAGUUAGAAACAAACAGCGGAAGUAAAUUAAUUUUCACUCCAACUCCACUUCAAUCUAAAGUCCACUUCCACCCCAAAUCUACUUACGUUGAAACAAACAAGCCCUAAUAGUCGAUCGAAUUUACAAGAGCCACCAACUAGCUAGCGUACACCAUAGUAUUAAUCAAAAUAGUCAAAAAUAUAUCUUUAAAGGCUCCGUUUGGUUCGGGGGAUAAGUGGGGAUAACGAAAGUUAUCCCCACUAUUCUGUCAAACGGGCUGAUUGUUUACCGAGAUAUUUUAUCCUGGUCAAACUUUGCUAUUCCCGAUUAUUUCGAAAUAGCAAGGGAUUUGCUAUUCCACUAUUUGGUGGAAUAGUGCUAUUCCAAUGCUUAAUUUCAUACUUAAUUAAAAUAAUAAAUUGAAUUAAAACUAAAUUAUAUAAAUAUUAUAUGUUAUAUAUUAUAAUACAUUAUUUUUAUUAUAAAAUUAUUAAUUGUACUAUAUUAAUACAUAUUAUUUAUAUUUAAAUAUUAUAAUAAAUUUUUUUUAUUAAAUUUAAGUUUAAGUAGAAUUUUUAAAAAAAUUAUAAAUUUAUUAUAAUAAAUUACUUUUAUUAAUUGUUCCGACAGCAAUUUUUAUUUUAAAAAUUUAUAAAUUAAAAUUUUAAUUUUUUAAAAUUUGUAAUUUAUAAUCUCAAAAUUAAAGUUUAUAAUUUUAAAUUAUAAAAUUUAAAUUUUUGAUAUUUUAAAUUUUUGAAAUUUAAAAUUUGAUAUUUUAUAUUUUUCAAAUUUAAAUUUGAUCUUAAAUUUAAAAUUUGAUAUUUAAAAUUUAAAAUUUAAAAUUUUGAAUUUAAAAAUUGAGAUUUUAAAUUUCAAAUUCUAAUUUCAAAUUUUGAAAUUUCAAAGUUAAAAUUUUAAAUUUAAAAAUUUAAAAAUUCAAAUUCAAAUAUAAUAAGAGGGUAAAAUCAUUAUUUUUUAUUUAUAAAAACUCAUUAUCCUUUUUAUUCCAUCUUACCUAACCAAACGCUAUUUUUUUUAUUCCCAGAAAUAAUCCAAUAUUUAUCCAAAUGCAAAAUUGAUCUAAUCCCCGCUUAUAGCUCAAUUUAUACAUAUUCCUGGAAUAGUCAUUUUUUGCUUAUCUCCGAACCAAACGAUACCAAAGAGUUUACUCUAACACGAAUGUUAACCUA
rnacentral:lncRNA from 1 species